rnacentral:rRNA from 1 species
AGUGAACGCUGGCGGUAGGCCUAACACAUGCAAGUCGAACGGCAGCACAGUAAGAGCUUGCUCUUACGGGUGGCGAGUGGCGGACGGGUGAGGAAUACAUCGGAAUCUACUUUUUCGUGGGGGAUAACGUAGGGAAACUUACGCUAAUACCGCAUACCACCUACGGGUGAAAGCAGGGGAUCUUCGGACCUUUCGCGAUUGAAUGAGCCGAUGUCGGAUUAGCUUGUUGGCGGGGUAAAGGCCCACCAAGGCGACGAUCCGUAGCUGGUCUGAGAGGGUGAUCAGCCACACUGGAACUGAGACACGGUCCAGACUCCUACGGGAGGCAGCAGUGGGGAAUUUUGGACAAUGGGCGCAAGCCUGAUCCAGCCAUGCCGCGUGGGUGAAGAAGGUCUUCGGGUUGUAAAGCCCUUUUGUUGGGAAAGAAAAGCAGCAGGUUAAGACCCCGCUGUUCUGACGGUACCCAAAGAAUAAGCACCGGCUAACUUCGUG